AGCGAACGCUGGCGGCAGGCCUAACACAUGCAAGUCGAACGGACCCUCGGGGUUAGUGGCGGACGGGUGAGUAACACGUGGGAACGUGCCUUUAGGUUCGGAAUAGCUCCUGGAAACGGGUGGUAAUGCCGAAUGUGCCCUUCGGGGGAAAGAUUUAUCGCCUUUAGAGCGGCCCGCGUCUGAUUAGCUAGUUGGUGAGGUAAUGGCUCACCAAGGCGACGAUCAGUAGCUGGUCUGAGAGGAUGACCAGCCACACUGGGACUGAGACACGGCCCAGACUCCUACGGGAGGCAGCAGUGGGGAGUCUUGCGCAAUGGGCGAAAGCCUGACGCAGCCAUGCCGCGUGAAUGAUGAAGGUCUUAGGAUUGUAAAAUUCUUUCACCGGGGACGAUAAUGACGGUACCCGGAGAAGAAGCCCCGGCUAACUUCGUGCCAGCCGCCGCAGUAA
rnacentral:rRNA from 1 species